AUAAUACUCCCUCCGUCCAGAAUUACUUGUCAUCAAAAUGGAUGUGUCUAGAACUAAAAUACAUCUAGAUAUAUCCAUUUCAAUGACAAGUAUUUUCGGACGGAGGGAGUAGUAG
rnacentral:pre_miRNA from 1 species